rnacentral:misc_RNA from 1 species
GUUGAUUAGAGCUUCGAAGUAAUAUAAUCUUUGUUCUAUUAGAUGUUUUUUUUAUGGAUAUAUUUGUGGCCGCGAUUUUCUUUAGUUCUAUGUUGGUAAUGAUAAUGUAGUUCAGGUUCUAAUUCUGAAGGUGCAAAUCAGCAUCAAAACUCAAACUUGUGAUUGGGAAAACUUAGGCUUGUGAUUGUAUGAAUGAUUAUGCAUAGAAAUGAAAUUGUCG